rnacentral:miRNA from 1 species
AUUGUAGAACCUAAGAUUGGCC